GAUCCUGGCUCAGGAUGAACGCUAGCUACAGGCUUAACACAUGCAAGUCGAGGGGCAGCAUCAUCAAAGCUUGCUUUGAUGGAUGGCGACCGGUGCACGGGUGAGUAACACGUAUCCAACCUGCCGACAACACUGGGAUAGCCUUUCGAAAGAAAGAUUAAUACCGGAUGGCAUAAUUAUUCCGCAUGGGAUAAUUAUUAAAGAAUUUCGGUUUGUACGAUGGGGAUGCGUUCCAUUA
rnacentral:rRNA from 1 species